UGGGGAAUUUUGGACAAUGGGGGCAACCCUGAUCCAGCAAUGCCGCGUGUGUGAAGAAGGCCUUCGGGUUGUAAAGCACUUUUGUCCGGAAAGAAAUCGCCCUGGCUAAUAUCNUGGGUGGAUGACGGUACYGGAAGAAUAAGCACCGGCUAACUACGUGCCAGCAGCCGCGGUAAUACGUAGGGUGCGAGCGUUAAUCGGAAUUACUGGGCGUAAAGCGUGCGCAGGCGGUUGGGCAAGACAGAUGUGAAAUCCCCGGGCUUAACCUGGGAAUGGCAUUUGUGACUGCCCGGCUAGAGUGUGUCAGAGGGGGGUAGAAUUCCACGUGUAGCAGUGAAAUGCGUAGAGAUGUGGAGGAAUACCGAUGGCGAAGGCAGCCCCCUGGGAUAACACUGACGCUCAUGCACGAAAGCGUGGGGAGCAAACAGGAUUAGAUACCCUGGUAGUCCACGCCCUAAACGAUGUCAACUAGUUGUCGGGUCUUAAUUGACUUGGUAACGCAGCUAACGCGUGAAGUUGACCGCCUGGGGAGUACGGUCGCAAGAUUA
rnacentral:rRNA from 1 species